rnacentral:rRNA from 1 species
GAUGAACGCUGGCGGCAUGCCUAAUACAUGCAAGUCGAACGAGAGGAAGGAAAGCUUGCUUUUCUGAAUCUAGUGGCGAACGGGUGAGUAACACGUAGGUAACCUGCCCAUGUGCCCGGGAUAACUUCUGGAAACGGAUGCUAAAACCGGAUAGGUAGCAGACAAGCAUUUGACUGCUAUUAAAGUGGCUAAGGCCAUGAACAUGGAUGGACCUGCGGUGCAUUAGCUAGUUGGUGAGGUAACGGCCCGCCAAGGCGACGAUGCAUAGCCGGCCUGAGAGGGCGGACGGCCACAUUGGGACUGAGACACGGCCCAAACUCCUACGGGAGGCAGCAGUAGGGAAUUUUCGUCAAUGGGGGGAACCCUGAACGAGCAAUGCCGCGUGAGUGAAGAAGGUCUUCGGAUCGUAAAGCUCUGUUGUAAGAGAAAAACGACAUUCAUAGGGAAUGAUGAGUGAGUGAUGGUAUCU